rnacentral:rRNA from 1 species
GUGAGGAAUUUUCCGCAAUGGGCGAAAGCCUGACGGAGCAAUGCCGCGUGAAGGAUGAAGGCCUAUGGGUUGUAAACUUCUUUUCUCAGAAAAGAAUUAUGACGGUAUCUGAGGAAUAAGAAUCGGCUAACUCUGUGCCAGCAGCCGCGGUAAGACAGAGGAUGCAAGCGUUAUCCGGAAUGAUUGGGCGUAAAGCGUCUGUAGGUUGUUUAAAAAGUAUUCUGUCAAAGAUUAGGGCUUAACCCUAGAUAGGCAGAAUAAACUUUUAAGCUAGAGUUUGGUAGAGGCAGAGGGAAUUCCCGGUGGAGCGGUGAAAUGCGUAGAUAUCGGGAGGAACACCAAAGGCGAAGGCACUCUGCUGGGCCAAUACUAACACUGAGAGACGAAAGCGAGGGGAGCAAAUGGGAUUAGAAACCCUGGUAGUCC